rnacentral:lncRNA from 1 species
AGACAACGGCCUUCCUGGAGGGAGGGAACCUUGUGGUUAGGAGCAUGGGGUGCGAAGCAGGUCUUCUUGGCUCUUACUGACGGCUGAUGAAGGAGGGGUUUAUAAAGAAAACAAGCCAAAACCUGAAGAACUCGCUACUGAGAGCAGCACACAUAUUUUCCCAAAGUGCAAAGUUGAGAAGAAGAAGUACAAAGCUUUGUUAAUAUUCUGAACAGUACUGCUUAGUAUGAUCUAAUUGAUGGAUUUUCCAUGGACUCCCUAGAGACUGAAAAAGGUUUGACUGUCAGGAAACUUUUCUUGUGUUUAUUCUUCAAUUUUCCUUUUCCUACUUCCCAAUCAUCAUUCCCUAUUAACAUCCCUUGAUGGGUCACCUUAAGUGAUUCUUCUUUUUAAUGACAUUUAUAACGUUUAAUAUUUCCCUGUUAGUUUCUAUUCCAACGAAGUACAUAUUUUUUUUAAUCUUCACUCAUAACAUUAAUAAAU